rnacentral:rRNA from 1 species
UCGAACGAGCUCUUCGGAGCUAGUGGCAGACGGGUGAGUAACGCGUGGGAAUCUACCCAGUUCUCUGGAAUAACUGAUGGAAACGUCAGCUAAUACCGGAUACGCCCUUUUGGGGAAAGAUUUAUCGGGAUUGGAUGAGCCCGCGUAAGAUUAGCUAGUUGGUGGGGUAACGGCCUACCAAGGCGACGAUCUUUAGCUGGUCUGAGAGGAUGAUCAGCCACACUGGGACUGAGACACGGCCCAGACUCCUACGGGAGGCAGCAGUGGGGAAUAUUGGACAAUGGGGGCAACCCUGAUCCAGCCAUGCCGCGUGAGUGAUGAAGGCCUUAGGGUUGUAAAGCUCUUUCACCGGUGAAGAUAAUGACGGUAACCGGAGAAGAAGCCCCGGCUAACUUCGUGCCAGCAGCCGCGGUAAUACGAAGGGGGCUAGCGUUGUUCGGAAUUACUGGGCGUAAAGCGCACGUAGGCGGAUAUUUAAGUCAGGGGUGAAAUCCCGGAGCUCAACUCCGGAACUGCCUUUGAUACUGGAUAUCUAGAGACCGAGAGAGGUAAGUGGAACUCCUAGUGUAGAGGUGGAAUUCGUAGAUAUUAGGAAGAACACCAGUGGCGAAGGCGGCUUACUGGCUCGGAACUGACGCUGAGGUGCGAAAGCGUGAGGAGCAAACAGGAUUAGAUACCCUGGUAGUCCACGCCGUACACUAUGAGAGCUAGCCGUUGGGGUGUUUACACUUCAGUGGCGCAUCUAACGCAUUAAGCUCUCCGCCUGGGGAGUAC